GUAGGUGAACCUGCGGAAGGAUCAUUACCUAGAGUUUGCGGGCUUUGCCUGCUAUCUCUUACCCAUGUCUUUUGAGUACUUACGUUUCAUCGGUGGAUUCGCCCGCCGAUUGGACAAUUUAAACCCUUUGCAGUUGCAAUCAGCGUCUGAAAAAAAUUAAUAAUUACAACUUUCAACAACGGAUCUCUUGGUUCUG
rnacentral:misc_RNA from 1 species